AAGGAGCCUUUUCGCCAUCGUGCGUUUCGUGGGCUGUGUCCUGCGGCGUUGGUGGUGGAGGUUGUGGAGCAUUGACCGUAGAUUGUCGGCUGGUUUCUGUUUGUUAGUACUGCUGGUGCCCUGUUGGGGUGUUGGUGUGGAACGCGGGUGGGGGUUGGUUGGUGGUCGUGGGAGGCACGUUGUUGGGUCCUGAGGGAUCGGCCAUGUUUGUGGCUGGUUUUUCGGUGUGGCCAGGUGGUUGUUCCCCGUGUUUGGGGGGUGGCUGGUUGGGUCCGCCCGUAUGUUGAGAACUUCACAGUGGACGCGAGCAUCUUUGUAGUUUUUUAUGAGUUUUGUGU
rnacentral:misc_RNA from 1 species